rnacentral:rRNA from 1 species
CCUACGGGUGACAGCAGUGGGGAAUAUUGCACAAUGGGGGAAACCCUGAUGCAGCGACGCCGCGUGAGGGAAGCAGUAUUUCGGUAUGUAAACUUCUAUCAGCAGGGAAGAAAAUGACGGUACCUGCCUAAGAAGCCCUGGCUAACUACGUGCCAGCAGCCGCGGUAAUACGUAGGGGGCAAGCGUUAUCCGGAUUUACUGGGUGUAAAGGGAGCGUAGGCGGCGCCGCAAGUCAGAAGUGAAAGGCCGGGGCUCAACCCCGGGACUGCUUUGGAAACUGUUGAACUAGAGUGCAGGAGAGGUAAGUGGAAUUCCUAGUGUAGCGGUGAAAUGCGUAGAUAUUAGGAGGAACACCAGUGGCGAAGGCGGCUUACUGGACUGUAAAUGACGCUGAGGCUCGAAAGCGUGGGGAGCAAACAGGAUUAGAUACCCCAGUAGUC